AGAAAAGCCUUUGUGAAGUUUAAAUUAAUUUGUCCCAUAUGCAAAAAUGUCAGGUUCCUCCUCUCUACCUUAACAGAAGGUAUUUUUAAAGAGAAAUUCUUUAAUUUGGAAAAGAUGAGCUGCUGUAAGCAGUUAAAAUUGACCCGUACAACUGGGGGUAUGUAGCCACCUUCCUUACUCAUUGAGUAACUGAUGCAAUAGAUUGUAGCCAAGUUAAACUGGCUUUGCAACUGAGGCCUUAACAGGCUAUAAUCAGGUCUGCGGAACAGCUGUAAGCCUUGCUCCUUUCUGGAUCUGUCCAUGCAGCUGCUGCACUUGCAGUAAUCUGCAAGCAGUUAAGCCAAGUUCUAGGCUGAAUAAGCUCAUAUAAACAGCUUGUCCUGCAGGGACUAAAUUAAAUCAUGUUUUACUUGGGAUUAACAGGUUCUCCUGGGUAUAAGGAAGCACGCCAUCACAGCAGGUGUUGGGCAGAAUUCAGAGCACACUGAUCAUGGCUCUGCAAAUCCACUCUGCAGCUCCACUGUAGCUUAAACACAGUACAUUAGCUGGGGUUACUGCUCUGCUUGGCUGAGGAAUAAGAGGAGACCUGACUCACAUAAGGGCUACCUUUCCAGAGGCCACCAACAGCUACUUAAAUGACAGUCUCAAGUAUGAGUCUGCAGAACGCUUAGAAGCGUAAUACCUAUAGAUCCAUAUAAACCUAGAAAGACUGAUCAGUUUUAUUCAUUAAAGCCAACGAAUUGUAACUUA